UACGGGGGGAGCAAGCGUUGUUCGGAUUUACUGGGCGUAAAGGGCGCGUAGGCGGCCACCGCAAGUCGACUGUGAAAUCUCCGGGCUUAACUCGGAAAGGUCAGCCGAUACUGCGGGGCUAGAGUGCAGAAGGGGCAACUGGAAUUCUCGGUGUAGCGGUGAAAUGCGUAGAUAUCGAGAGGAACACCUGGCGGCGAAGGCGGGUUGCUGGGCUGACACGUGACGCUGAGGCGCGAAAGCGUGGGGAGCAAACAGG
rnacentral:rRNA from 1 species